rnacentral:rRNA from 1 species
UACGUAGGGGGCAAGCGUUGUCCGGAUUUACUGGGCGUAAAGAGCGUGUAGGCGGCCAAAACAGGUCCGUUGUGAAAACUGGAGGCUCAACUUCCAGACGUCGACGGAAACCGUGUGGCUAGAGUCCGGAAGAGGAGAGUGGAAUUCCUGGUGUAGCGGUGAAAUGCGCAGAUAUCAGGAAGAACACCAAUGGCGAAGGCAGCUCUCUGGGACGGUACUGACGCUGAGACGCGAAAGCGUGGGGAGCGAACAGG